rnacentral:rRNA from 1 species
CCUACGGGGGGCAGCAGUGGGGGAUAUUGCACAAUGGGGGGAACCCUGAUGCAGCGACGCCGCGUGGGUGAAGAAGCGCCUCGGCGCGUAAAGCCCUGUCAGCAGGGAAGAAAAUGACGGUACCUGAAGAAGAAGCCACGGCUAACUACGUCCCAGCAGCCGCGGUAAUACGUAGGGGGCAAGCGUUAUCCGGGUUUACUGGGUGUAAAGGGGGAGCAGACGGCGAUGCAAGCCAGGAGUGAAAGCCCGGGGCCCAACCCCGGGACUGCCCUUGGAACUGGUUGGCUGGAGUGCAGGAGGGGCAGGCGGAAUGCCUGGUGUAGCGGUGAAAUGCGUAGAUAUCAGGAAGAACACCGUGUGCGAAGGCGGCCUGCUGGACUGCAACUGACGUUGAGGCACGAAAGCGUGGGGAGCAAACAGGAUUAGAUACCCUAGUAGUC